rnacentral:rRNA from 1 species
AUUGAACGCUGGCGGCAGGCCUAACACAUGCAAGUCGAGCGGAUGAAGGGAGCUUGCUCCUGGAUUCAGCGGCGGACGGGUGAGUAAUGCCUAGGAAUCUGCCUGGUAGUGGGGGAUAACGUCCGGAAACGGGCGCUAAUACCGCAUACGUCCUGAGGGAGAAAGUGGGGGAACUUCGGACAUCACGCUAUCAGAUGAGCCUAGGUCGGAUUAGCUAGUUGGUGGGGUAAAGGCCUACCAAGGCGACGAUCCGUAACUGGUCUGAGAGGAUGAUCAGUCACACUGGAACUGAGACACGGUCCAGACUCCUACGGGAGGCAGCAGUGGGGAAUCUUCGACAAUGGGCGAAAGCCUGAUCCAGCCAUGCCGCGUGUGUGAAGAAGGUCUUCGGAUUGUAAAGCACUUUUAGUUGGGAGGAAGGGCAGUAAGUUAAUACCUUGCUGUUUUGACGUUACCAACAGAAUAAGCCCCGGCUAACUUCGUG